ensembl:snRNA U6 U6 spliceosomal RNA
UUGCUUCAGCAGCACAUAUACUAAAAUUGGACCAAUGCAGGGAAGAUUAAUAUGACCUCUGAGUAAGGAUGACACAAAACUUGUGAAACGUUCCAUUAAAAAUAAUUUUUU